GACCUUGGUCCUUCAGGGGCAAGGCAGUGUGAAGGGAGAAUGAACACACGUGAGGCAGCAAAGACAAGGCAUGGGAUCAAGACAUAAGGAAUUGAAGUGUUCACAGCAACACAAUGCUGGUAACAAACCCUGAGUCCUGCCAACCCAGAUGGGCAGAAAUCAUGAGCUGGGUUCUCACCAAGCACAGCAUCAGCUCUAAAACGGAGCAAAGAAGGCACUUGGAUUCCGGUAGAGGGAAGUUUUGGAACAGAAGCAAGCGGAAGAUAUUGCCAUGGUUUGCCCAAAAGUGAGACAGAACGUUUUCCUUAUUCCUGAGG